rnacentral:misc_RNA from 1 species
CUGAGAUUGAAACCAAGUACUCACCAGGGUAGUCAAGUUUGACCAUGUAUUUACUGCCUCCAUUGCUACUACCACGCUUUUGAGACCAUAGAGAGCGACCAUGCUUAUCAUACUCAACAUGCAAGGAAUCAACUAUGGAUCCAGCUCCUAUGAUCAAUUGCCUUAUUGUAGUGUGAAUUCCAUCGUCCCAAUGCUGUCCUUGUCCUCCACAUUGUUCACAAGUUUGGUACUGAUAUGACAUUGGAAUUGGCUUUAAAUACACUCCAAUAGAGUGAAGAUAAUCACCACAUGUUCCAUGAAAUCCUAUUAUUUUUCCAUAUGCUAUAGAUGAAAGCGAGAAUUCAUGGUUUCCUUUCCCACUACCAAAGGGUCCAUAUGUUUUUUUGUUGCUUUGGAAUGAAAGUGAUUGAAUUAUGGUGGAACUAGCAUUUGUACUGUAUGAGCCUGAAAGUGAAAUGAGGAACUCUUCUGGGUAAUCAAGUUUGAUCGUGUAUGUCUUGUCUCCAAUGCUCUGCCCACGCUUUGAAGACCAUAAAGAGUGUCCAUUCUUGUCAUAAUCAAUGCAAACAUAGUUGACCAUAGAUCCACAAGAAAUUACCAAUUGCCUAAUUGUAGUUUGCACUCCAUCAUCCCAUGGGUCACCACCUUGACCUCCAAAUGGCCCAAUGAAUUCAGAUGGUUUUGGAUAUGAGAUUGGCUCCACAUGUGCCCCAAUUGCAUAGAGAU